rnacentral:lncRNA from 1 species
CAGACAACCAACCUGGAAGUCUGGAUUUUAGACCAGAGGGAAGCAGAAAACAGCCUUCGCAAGGCAGAAAAGCAGCAGCUCCCUGGUUGACUGGUUUGGUCAGUCUGAGUCUCUCCAGGCCUUUACCACACACGACAUAAUCUGCUGACUUUCAAACUGAAACUGGAAAAAACAACCACUAGUAACUCACACAAAAGAUUCCUCUCUCUCUCUCUCUCUCUCUCUCUCUCUCUCUCUCUCCCCUUAUAACCUGACUUAAUAAGGCACAGAAGGAGGAGGAAGAAAAAAAAAAAGCCCAGGAGAGGAGUGAGGAGUUUUAAGUUCAUGGAGCAGUCUACUUCCCCACAAAAGCAAACCAAAGCUCAGGCAUCAAAGAGAAGCUUGAAGGAGAAGAGAGCAAGGUUGUACAUUAUCAAACGUUGCGUGUUCAUGCUACUAUGUUGGAGGGAACAUGCAGAUUAACAAUGGUGGUAAAGUUUCACCAUCCAUGUUUGUUGUUCAAGUUUUGCAGUAGUUUUUAAAAAAAGUUUAUCUUGUUUACCUGGCAUUGUUGUUAAUGGCACUAGGAUUUGUAGCGUAUGUGUGUGUGCGUGAGAGAGAGAGAGAGAGAGGAGAGAUGUGAAGAUGAGAACAUCAAAUUGUAAAGAUAAAGUUGUAAGUUGCACUAUUAAUUGUUCCAAGUGACUGUAACUACUUUCUUCACAACUUGAUGCAGCAGUAGCACUAUGCAUUCCAAGUUACAAUAACUACUUUCUUCACUAUUUG